UACGUAGGGGGCAAGCGUUGUCCGGAAUCAUUGGGCGUAAAGCGCGCGUAGGCGGCCCUGUAAGUCCGUUGUGAAAGUCAAAGGCUCAACCUUUGAAAGCCGAUGGAUACUGCAGGGCUAGAGUCCGGAAGAGGCGAGUGGAAUUCCUGGUGUAGCGGUGAAAUGCGCAGAUAUCAGGAGGAACACCAGUGGCGAAGGCGGUGCUCUGGGCCGGUACUGACGCUGAGGAGCGAAAGCGUGGGUAGCAAACAGG
rnacentral:rRNA from 1 species